GCUGAAACAACGGUUCUUGUUCAGUCACUGUAGUUAAGCAACAUCAAGCUUGGUCAGUACCUAGAUGGGUGACCACUUGGGAAUACCAGGUGUUGUAA